CUGUGUGCUCUUACGGGGCACGCUGCCUUCCGGGACAUGAAUCACACUGCCAGAAUGGCCAAGUGGCAGUGGAACCAAACUUUCUCCCCUCGUGGCUUCAGCUGAAUUGGAAAGACUCAGCACAGAGCGACCCAAGGAUCUGAAGUGGAAAAGUACUUGGUCCCACCAGCUGCCAUGACCCUGACCCUCACGACCUGAUGCUGACUCAAGGGUGACGUAUACCUGCUCCCAUGGAACAAGGAGCCCCCACCAGCAGCUGGGCUUCCUGCAGUCACUCCCAAGGAUCCAGUCCCCCGGGCACGGGGGCCCAGGGUCCACCCUUGUAAUUAACACCUGCCAGUCCCCUGCGGGGACCAACUACUUGUCGCCCAGUCACACUGGCAGCCUCACGCUUGUCCCACGGCACUUUCUGGACCAAGCCCCGAGCAUCCUCAUGGCGGGUGACUGGACAGGCCCUGUGGUCGGGGAGCCCCUUUCCUCACCAGCCUGGAGGACACCACCCAGCCACCUCUGAAGGCAGCGGGACCCUGCCCUCUCUCCACUUCAUGGAGGUCGGGGAGUGGUCCCAGGCUAAGGUCAUCUCCUAGAGAAGCGCAGAGGCCCUGGGCACCUCCUGCUCCUACAGCAGGUUCUCCACCCUCCUUAGGAGUUCUCUCCAGUUCUCUCGGGGAACAAGGUGGAGUCAUUGCGUGUGUGGUGGGGGGUGUUCUCAAGUGUCCACUGGGACAUUUUGUCUCAAGAAAUUCAGAGGACCGCCACCAGGAAGGACCCAGCCAGUGGGACUUCAGAAGCACCGUCUACAGGGAGUUUACCAUAUAAAUCACGUCUUCCGCGAGGAGCCUGGGAUUUCUUUUAAUCAUCAGUCCAGAACAGUCUCCAGAGGGGGCCUUUGAUAAACACUGGCCUGUUUUUGAUAAAUAGACAUUCCCGUGUCCUUUCCUAGGAAAUGCUGCAUUUUUGUUCAUAAAAAUGCCAGGUUGUAGAGAUAGCCUUUGGAAGAAAAGCACCAACAGCUCACAUUUACACAGUGGUGAGGUUUUCCCAGGCGCGGUACUAGGUGCUUUAUGGCUGUGGAGUGAUCAGCGCUAAGAGCAGCGAAAUUAUGGUACAAGGUGGUAUGAUCUAACUUUACAAAUGAGGAAACGGAGGCAGCGGGAGGGUGAUGCUUGGCUCAAGGUCACAUCAAAGGCAAAGCAUGCAUCUGGGAUGCAAGCCCAGACAAUUCGGCUCCAGAAUCAAAUUGAUUAGCUAUUGUCACUAAAGAAAAUAAAAAAAUGAAGCAUUUUUCAUUAUAUGUGUAUUGAAAGUGACGUUAACGUGGUUUUGCAGGAGAAAACAUUGUUUUUUUCAUAUUUUGUUCAUAUAACUGCUUUGUACCACGUUCUAAAAUUUAGUAGGAAAUGACACAUCCCAAAUAUGCAUCAAUAUUUGGCUAAAUUUCAUUCAAAAUACAGUACGUUGUCUUAGGAAAGUUUGGGGGCACUCUGCACCUAAUCAUCCAGCAAACCAGAAUUCAUCUGAUUUUAAAAAUAUAUUGAAAAUCAAGAGUCACUAAAGGGCUUUUCUUGUUCACAUUCAACCAGGGUGUCAGGCAUAGCACGUUUCACUACCUAACUGUAUCAGUCCUCAGAGGCUAGGCCAUGUCCACAAACAACCCACCCCCAAAUCUCAAACUGUGCAGGGCUAUACCUCACACACGCUACAACCCCCGGGGUCAACAGGGAGUCGUGCUGACUAGUCACUUCAGAACACAGCCUUCAGACAAUGGCCACCUCGCAUGACGGCCGUGUCAAGGGGAGAGGACAGCUUAGCAGGGCCUCGUACUGGCCAUUAAGUGACCAGCCUAGAAGUGACACUUGCUAUUUCCACUCAUCACUUAUGAGCCAGAAGAUGUCAUGUGGACACCCCAGCACAAACCGGGGAAGGAGGGAGAGGCAGGAAGUGAAAUUC